rnacentral:rRNA from 2 species
UUGGAUCACCUCCUUA